CAGUUCUGGCAGAUCGGCGAGUGCCUGCUGGUGGAGAGGAGGAAGAGUGCAGCACAGGACUACCUGGGCCAGAGCCUGCUCUAUCUACAGAGCCCGCAGGAGCCCCUGCGCCGGGAGGCCGGGAGGUUCAUCGAGCUCAUUGGGAGGCACGAGAGCCCGACGGCGCGGACCCGGUGGUGGCGGUUCGGGCGGCGCUGACCCCGCGGGACGGAAC